rnacentral:rRNA from 1 species
UGGGGAAUAUUGCACAAUGGAGGGAACUCUGAUGCAGCGACGCCGCGUGAACGAAGAAGGCUUUCGAGUCGUAAAGUUCUUUUAUAUGGGAAGAUAAUGACGGUACCAUAAGAAAAAGCCCCGGCUAACUACGUGCCAGCAGCCGCGGUAAUACGUAGGGGGCUAGCGUUGUCCGGAAUCACUGGGCGUAAAGGGUUCGCAGGCGGAAAUGCAAGUCAGGUGUAAAAGGCAGUAGCUUAACUACUGUAAGCAUUUGAAACUGCAUAUCUUGAGAAGAGUAGAGGUAAGUGGAAUUUUUAGUUUAGCGGUGAAAUGCGUAGAUAUUAAAAAGAAUACCGGUGGCGAAGGCGACUUACUGGGCUCAUUCUGACGCUGAGGAACGAAAGCGUGGGUAGCAAACAGG